rnacentral:rRNA from 1 species
UUUGCCUACGGGGGGCAGCAGUGAGGAAUAUUGGUCAAUGGUCGGGAGACUGAACCAGCCAAGCCGCGUGAGGGAGGAAGGUACAGAGUAUCGUAAACCUCUUUUGUCAGGGAACAAAGACUGGGACGCGUCCCCGGAUGAGUGUACCUGAAGAAAAAGCAUCGGCUAACUCCGUGCCAGCAGCCGCGGUAAUACGGAGGAUGCGAGCGUUAUCCGGAUUUAUUGGGUUUAAAGGGUGCGUAGGCGGUUUUUUAAGUUAGUGGUUAAACGUCGGGGCUUCACCGUGUUUU